GUACAAACUUAAUCACUCCCUUACCUGAUGUUGUAGAAGCUAGGAGAACCAAACUUGCUAAACUAAUCAUGGUAAUAGGCAUUUAUUAGCCUCAGAAGCUACUGAGGUGGCCCAUUCCAUCCCGUACAGUA
ensembl:snoRNA SNORA66 Small nucleolar RNA SNORA66